rnacentral:piRNA from 1 species
UCUUCUGGCCUGCAGAGAUAUAU